GAUGAACGCUGGCGGCGUGCCUAAUACAUGCAAGUCGAGCGAACGGACGAGAAUCUUGCUUUUCUGAUGUUAGCGGCGGACGGGUGAGUAACACUUGGAUAACCUACCUAUAAGACUGUGAUACCUUCGGGAAACCGGCGCUAAUACCGGACAAUAUUUUGAACCUCAUUGUUCAAAAGUGAAAGACGGUCUUGCUGUCACUUAUAGCUGGAUCCUCGCUGCAUUAGCUAGUUGGUAAGGUAACGGCUUACCAAGGCAACGAUGCAUAGCCGACCUGAGAGGGUGGUAGGCCACACAGGAAGUGAGACACGGUCGAGACUCCUACGGGAAGCAGCAGUAGGGAAUCUUACGCGAUGGGCGAAAGCCUGACGGAGCAAAGCAGCGUGAGUGAUGAAGGUCUUCGGAUGGUAAAACUCUGUUAUUAGGGAAGAACAUAUGUGUAAGUAACUGUGCACAUCUUGACGGUACCUAAUCAGAAAGCCACGGCUAACUACGUG
rnacentral:rRNA from 1 species